rnacentral:rRNA from 1 species
CACAUGCAAGUCGAGGGGUAACAGGAGUAGCUUGCUAUUUGCUGACGACCGGCGCACGGGUGCGUAACGCGUAUAGAAUCUACCUUAUACUGGGGGAUAGCCUUUGGAAACGAAGAUUAAUACCCCAUAGUAUUAUUUUUUGGCAUCAUUAAAUAAUUAAAGUUUCGGCGGUAUAAGAUGACUAUGCGUUCUAUUAGUUAGUUGGUAAGGUAACGGCUUACCAAGACUUCGAUAGAUAGGGGUCCUGAGAGGGAGAUCCCCCACACUGGUACUGAGACACGGACCAGACUCCUACGGGAGGCAGCAGUGAGGAAUAUUGGACAAUGGAGGCAACUCUGAUCCAGCCAUGCCGCGUGUAGGAAGACUGCCCUAUGGGUUGUAAACUACUUUUAUAUGGGAAGAAUAAGAUCUACGUGUAGAUUGAUGACGGUACCAUAAGAAUAAGCACCGGCUAACUCCGUGCCAGCAGCCGCGGUAAUACGGAGGGUGCAAGCGUUAUCCGGAAUCAUUGGGUCUAAAGGGUCCGUAGGCGGGCAUAUAAGUCAGUGGUGAAAGUCUGUGGCUUAACCAUAGAAUUGCCAUUGAUACUGUAUGUCUUGAAUUAUUGUGAAGUGGUUAGAAUAUGUAGUGUAGCGGUGAAAUGCUUAGAGAUUACAUAGAAUACCGAUUGCGAAGGCAGAUCACUAACAAUAUAUUGACGCUGAUGGACGAAAGCGUAGGUAGCGAACAGGAUUAGAUACCCUGGUAGUCUACGCCGUAAACGAUGGAUACUAGUUGUUUGGCCUUCGGGCUGAGUGACUAAGCGAAAGUGAUAAGUAUCCCACCUGGGGAGUACGUUCGCAAGAAUGAAACUC